rnacentral:rRNA from 1 species
UCAAGCUACUAAGGGCAUACGGCGGAUGCCUAGGCGCCAUCAGCCGAUGAAGGACGCGGUAAGCUGCGAAAAGCUACGGGGAACUGCAAGCAAGUAUUGAUCCGUAGAUGUCCGAAUGGGGAAACCCACCUGCCGUCAUGGGCAGGUAUCCGAAAGGAAGGGAACCCGGGGAACUGAAACAUCUAAGUACCCGGAGGAAGAGAAAUCAAACGAGAUGCCCACAGUAGCGGCGAGCGAAGAGGGCAGAGGGCAAACCGGGGAGCUACGGCUCUCCGGGGUUGAGGACUGCAUUUAGUCUCAAUGGUCUAUCCGAACUACCUGGAAAGGUAGGCAACACAGUGUAAAAGCCACGUAGGUUAAAGACCAGAGAGAUGAGCAGUAUCCAGAGUACCACGAGGCACGAGGAAUCUUGUGGGAAGCCGGGGGGACCACCCUCCAACCCUAAACACUGAAUGGCGACCGAUAGCGCAUAGUACCGUGAGGGAAAGGUGAAAAGAACCCCGGGAGGGGAGUGAAAGAGAACCUGAAACCGUAUGUCUACAAGCAGUCGGAGCGAAAGCGACGGCGUGCCUAUUGAAGAAUGAACCAACGAGUUACGUGCACUAGCGAGGUUAAGUGGAAGACACGGAGCCGAAGCGAAAGCGAGUCUUAAGAGGGCGGAUAGUUAGUGUACGUAGACCCGAAACCGCAGUGAUCUACCCAUGUCCAGGUUGAAGCGCAGGUAAAAUUGCGUGGAGGACCGAACCUGUGAGCGUUGAAAAGCUUUAGGAUGAGAUGUGGGUAGAGGUGAAAUUCCAAUCGAACGCGGAGAUAGCUGGUUCUCCCCGAAAUAGCUUUAGGGCUAGCCUCAAGUAGUAAGUAUAGGCGGUAGAGCACUGAUCGGGCUAGGGGCCAUAAAGGUUACCGAACCCUGUCAAACUCCGAAUGGUUAUACUGUAGAGCUUGGGAGUCAGACUACGAGUGAUAAGAUCCGUGGUCAAAAGGGAAACAGCCCAGACCACCAGCUAAGGUCCCCAAUGUCGUACUAAGUGGAAAAGGAUGUGGGGUCUCUAAAACAACCAGGAUGUUGGCUUAGAAGCAGCCACCAUUUAAAGAGUGCGUAAUAGCUCACUGGUCGAGAGACCCUGCGCCGAAGAUUACCGGGGCUAAAGUACGAAACCGAAGCUGUGGCUACGACUUAGGUCGUGGGGUAGGGGAGCGUUCUGUGAGGGCUGAAGUCGUUCUGUAAGGAACGGUGGACUUCACAGAAGUGAGAAUGUUGGUAUGAGUAGCGAAAAGAAUGGUGAGAAUCCAUUCCACCGAAAGCAUAAGGAUUCCUGGGCAACGAUCGUCGUCCCAGGGUAAGUCGGGACCUAAUCCGAGGCAUGGAGCGUAGGAGAUGGACAACUGGCAGAUAUUCCAGUACCGGUAAUGAUUGUUUGAGCGAUGGAGUGACACAGGAGGGCAGGCAGGCAGGAGAUUGGUUGUUCCUGUACAAGCGUGUAGGGUGGAACGUAGGCAAAUCCGCGUUCUGAGAGCCUGAGGCGUGAUGUGGAGGUUCCGGAAACGGAACUGAAGCUGCUGACCCCACACUGUCGAGAAAAGCUUCUAGUUAGAGAAUUACCGCCCGUACCGUAAACCGACACAGGUAUGCGGGGAGAGAAUCCUAAGGUGCGCGGGAGAACCCUCGUUAAGGAACUCGGCAAAAUGUACCCGUAACUUCGGGAUAAGGGUAGCCGCUGUUGUGAAGUCUGAACAGACGGAGCAUGAGGCGGUCGCAGAGAAGAGGCCCAAGCGACUGUUUACCACAAACACAGGUGCCUGCUAAAGAGAAAUCUGACGUAUAGGUGCUGACACCUGCCCAGUGCCGGAAGGUUAAGGAAGGAUGUCCGGAGCAAUCCAAAGCAUUCGACCGAAGCCCCGGUGAACGGCGGCCGUAACUAUAACGGUCCUAAGGUAGCGAAAUUCCUUGUCGGGUAAG